UGUGGAUAAGGCAUGCAAGUCGAACGGAACUAUUUUUGAAGGAGCUGCGAUUACAUCAAGGCUUCGGAUUUAAUAGCUUAGUGGCGAACGAGUUAGUAACACCUUGGUACAUAACCCAAAGUCUGGCAUAAUCUGCCGAAAGGCAGACUAAUUCCAGAUGGUAUCGAAAGAUUAAAGGCGCAAGCCGCUUUGGGAGUGGCCUAGGUCCUAUCAGCUAGUUGGUGAGGUAAUGGCUCACCAAGGCUAUGACGGGUAGGGGGCGUGAGAGCGUGAUCCCCAACGACGAGACUGAGACACGGCUCGUACACCUACGGGUGGCAGCAGUCGAGAAUAUUCCGCAAUGGGCGAAAGCCUGACGGAGCGACGCCGCGUGCAGGAAGAAGGCCUUCGGGUUGUAAACUGCUUUUGCGUGGGAAGAAAUUUGACGGUACCACGAGAAUAAGGGGUUGCUAACUCUGUGCCAGCAGCAGCGGUAAUACAGAGACCCCGAGCGUUAUCCGGAAUUACUGGGCGUAAAGCGCAAGUAGUCGGUUUUUAUAGUCUGAUGUUAAAUCUCAUGGCUUAACUGUGAGACCGCAUCGGAAACGUAAAGACUAGAGCGAAUCAGAGGCAAGCGGAACGUGUGGUGUAGCGGUGAAAUGCGUUGAUAUCACACGGAACACCAAAAGCGAAGGCAGCUUGCUGGGAUUUUGCUGACGAUCAGUUGCGAAAGCGUGGGGAUCAAAAAGGAUUAGAUACCCUUGUAGUCCACGCCCUAAACGUUGCAGACUAGCUAUUAGGAGCAUCGACCCUCCUGGUGGCGCAGCUAACGCAUUAAGUCUGCCGCCUGGGAAGUACGAUCGCAAGAUUAAAACUCAAAGGAAUAGGCGGGAGCUCACACAAGCGGUGGAUCAUGUGGUUCAAUUCGACACAGAGCGAAAAACCUCACCAGGGCUUGAAAUGCUGGUGAACGCCUCGGGAAACCGAGGCCUCCGCAAGGCACCAGCACAGGUGCUGCACGGCUGUCGUCAGCUCGUCAGGUGACUGGUUCCCUUAAGUGGGGAAACGAGCGCAACCCCUAUUGUGUGUUACACGUAUCACACGAGACUGCUAGGGUUGACCUAGAGGAAGGCGGGGACGACGUCAGGUCAGCGUGGCCCUUUGGUGCCCUGGGCUACACACAUGAUACAAUGGGAAGUAACAAUGGGUUGCCAAACCGCGAGGUGGAGCUAAUCCCAUCAAACCUUCCCCCAGUUCGGAUAGGAGGCUGAAACUUGCCUCCUCGAAGCCGGAAUCGCUAGUAAUCGCAGAUCAGCACGCUGCGGUGAAUACGUUCUCGAGCUUUGCACUCACCGCCCGUCACGUCAGGGAAGCCGGGAAUACCCGAAGGUCCGUUUUAUUAAAUGGAAUCACGGUAGGCUCGGUGACAAGGACGAAGUCGUAACGA
rnacentral:rRNA from 1 species